rnacentral:rRNA from 1 species
GAGGUUACUGCUAUCGAGGUUCGACUAAGCCAUGCGAGUCGAAUGUAGCAAUACAUGGCGUACUGCUCAGUAACACGUGGAUUACCUACCCUUGAGACGGGGAUAAACCCGGGAAACUGGGUAUAAUACCCGAUAGAUCUCGACUGCUGGAAUGCAUCGAGCUUUAAAGCUCCGGCGCUCAAGGAUGGAUCUGCGGCCUAUCAGGUAGUAGUGGGUGUAGCGUACCUACUAGCCUACGACGGGUACGGGUUGUGAGAGCAAGAGCCCGGAGAUGGAUUCUGAGACACGAAUCCAGGCCCUACGGGGUGCAGCAGGCGCGAAAACUUUACAAUGCUGGAAACAGCGAUAAGGGGACCUCGAGUGCCAGGUUACAAAUCUGGCUGUCGUGAUGCCUAAAAAGCAUUGCAUAGCAAGGGCCGGGCAAGACCGGUGCCAGCCGCCGCGGUAACACCGGCGGCUCGAGUGGUAACCGUUAUUAUUGGGUCUAAAGGGUCUGUAGCCGGCCGGAUAAGUCUCUUGGGAAAUCUGGCAGCUUAACUGUCAGGCUUUCAGGGGAUACUGUCUGGCUCGAGGCCGGGAGAGGUGAGAGGUACUUCAGGGGUAGGGGUGAAAUCUUGUAAUCCUCGAAGGACCACCAGUGGCGAAGGCGUCUCACCACAACGGACCUGACGGCAAGGGACGAAAGCUAGAGGCACGAACCGGAUUAGAUACCCGGGUAGUCCUAGCCGUAAACGAUACUCGCUAGGUGUCGGCCACGGUGCGACCGUUGUCGGUGCCGUACGGAAGCCGUGAAGCGAGCCACCUGGGAAGUACGGCCGCAAGGCUGAAACUUAAAGGAAUUGGCGGGGAGCACCACAACGCGUGGAGCUUGCGGUUUAAUUGGAUACAACGCCGG